CAGGCCAGGUUCCUGAGAGCAGACAGCGCGGGCUGGGAGCGCCGGCAAGGGCGGCCCUCGCGCGCCUGGCUGCCAGCCGGCGGGGUGCUCGCACGCAGACCUGCCCUUGCCACCUCAGCGCUCGGGUGCGGGCUGGGGGCGGUGGAGCCAGGAAAGGUGGUGCCGAGAGCGGAGCGCAGGACAGCGCAGGAGCCCUGGCGCAACGCGGCGCGCACAGACCCAGGAUUUGUGAAGAGGUGACCCAAAUUUCAGACAAUGUUGGAUGCAAACGGAUUUGCCAGCAAUUGCAUCACUGUCAAAACCAGCUCUGCCCGUGUCUUCCGAAGAUACCAAGUGAAAUAUGUGUAGAUGGGAUUUACAUCUGAAAAACCAAGGCAAGAGGCCAUGGGAAGGGACGGAGGUGGAAUAGGACUGGACAGGAGCUGAUAAAUGGUUGUUGCUGAGUACUGGGCAGAUAGGGGUUGGUUAUCCUAUUGUCUUUGCUUUCAUAUAUUUUAUUUUUUCUGUAAUAAAACAAAUUAAAAUCACCUGUCGUGACCUCACAGGGGCCAAUGUGGGUUGUGGCAUGAGGCAGGAAGCUCUGCAGAGUUCCUUGGUCAAAAGGAUUAAUUACAAAAGAACUCCACGAACACCGAGAAGAGAAGGGAAUCCUGGGCAUUUAAAGCCACAAAGAAACUUGAUAUGGUCUUGUCUCCUUCUCUCAACUGACAGUGAGAAACUGAAGACCAGAGAGGGUGAGUGGUUUACCCAGUUUGGCACAACUGACCCCAACCUAGCCCUCCAUGAGGACUGAGCACAUGAGAGAUCCUGAGCCACAGCCACCCAGCCCUGCUCCUCUCGAAUUUCUGACCUACAGGAAGUGCAAGAAGUAAUGAAAGACUGCUGUUUAAAGCCACUGCAUUUUGGCAUGAUUUGUUAUGCAGUCAUAGAUAACCAGAAAACAUCGGAUUUACAUUU
rnacentral:lncRNA from 1 species